rnacentral:lncRNA from 1 species
AAAUCUAAGAAUAUCUAGACCGUACAAUUCAAUGAGUUCACCGAUCUAGCGUAUUCGACGCUGCACCUGAUCUACGCCCCUGUCAGCCACCGCCAGUGGUUCCAGUCUCCGUAUCUCCUACGCCCUGGAACCAAUCAAAGCCGGACCACCACAGAAAGGUGCGCUGCCACGAUACGAGCAAAACCGGACCAGCCUUGAUCACUACUCUCGCUGGAACGAAAAGGGAGAAGAAAUCGUUCGGCCUCCCCGAGCUUCCAAGCCCCCGAUCUCCUUUCCUGUUUGUCCGUGCGUUACACGGCCAUCAUUAUGUGAAAGAAGAGAUCGUGAUCUUCCUUUUGGACUACUUGGGUCGUCGAGCUCUCUUCGUAUUUUCGCCGGACCGCUUGCAGCCUUGGCGUGUGGGUGACGCGCCGGUGAGUGACAUUUGCUUGAUUAUUCAGUGAAUCAAGGGCAUUUUGGUGAUGUAACAAUGCCAGGGACAUUUUGGUAAUUGAACUGCUUGACCAAGGGCAUCUCGGUAAUUUCAAGACCC